rnacentral:rRNA from 1 species
GACGAACGCUGGCGGCGUGCUUAACACAUGCAAGUCGAACGGAAAGGCCUCUUUCGGGGGGUACUCGAGUGGCGAACGGGUGAGUAACACGUGAGUAACCUGCCCUUGACUUUGGGAUAACUUCAGGAAACUGGGGCUAAUACCGGAUAGGAGCUCCUGCUGCAUGGUGGGGGUUGGAAAGUUUCGGCGGUUGGGGAUGGACUCGCGGCUUAUCAGCUUGUUGGUGGGGUAGUGGCUUACCAAGGCUUUGACGGGUAGCCGGCCUGAGAGGGUGACCGGCCACAUUGGGACUGAGAUACGGCCCAGACUCCGACGGGAGGCAGCAGUGGGGAAUAUUGCACAAUGGGUGGAAGCCGGAUGCAGCAACGCCGUGGGCGGGAGGACGGCCUUCGGGUUGGAAACCGCUUUCGCUCAUGACGAAGCUUUGUGUGACGGUAGUGGGUAAAGAAGCACCGGCUAACUACGUG